AUUGAACGCUGGCGGCAGGCCUAACACAUGCCAGUCGAGCGGAUGAAGGGAGCUUGCUCCUGGAUUCAGCGGCGGACGGGUGAGUAAUGCCUAGGAAUCUGCCUGGUAGUGGGGGAUAACGUCCGGAAACGGGCGCUAAUACCGCAUACGUCCUGAGGGAGAAAGUGGGGGAUCUUCGGACCUCACGCUAUCAGAUGAGCCUAGGUCGGAUUAGCUAGUUGGUGGGGUAAAGGCCUACCAAGGCGACUAUCCGUAACUGGUCUGAGAGGAUGAUCAGUCACAAUGGAACUGAGAAACGGUCCAGACUCCUACGGGAGGAAGCAGUCGGGAAUAUUGGACAAUGGGCGAAAGCCUGAUCCAGCCAUGCCGCGUGUGUGAAGAAGGUCUUCGGAUUGUAAAGCACUUGAAGUUGGGAGGAAGGGCAGUAAGUUAAUACCUUGCUGUUUUGACGGUACCAACAGAAUAAGCACCGGCUAACUUCGUG
rnacentral:rRNA from 1 species